GUCUCCCCGGAAUUUAACGUAUGGGGAGUCGAACCUGCCCGGUGACAGAGUUGUUAAACGGCCGCGGUACCCUAACCGUGCAAAGGUAGCAUAAUCACUUGCCUUUUAAUUGGAGGCUGGUAUGAAUGGUUUGACGAGAGCUAUGCUGUCUCUUUGGAAAUAUUUAAAAAUUAACUUCUAGGUGAAGAGGCCUAGAUAGGUUUAAGGGACAAGAAGACCCUGUUGAGCUUUAAUGAAAUUAUUAAUAUUAUUAUUGUUAAAAGGUUGUAUUUAUAUAAAUUUUGUUGGUAGUGAAUUUUUAGUUGGGGCGACUGAGGAAUAAGAAAAGCUUCCUUGUGAAAAAGUAUAAGAGUUUAUUAACUUGUGGGUAGUAGUGCAUGCAUGUUAAUUUGAUCCGGAGUAUUUCGAUCAAAGGAAAGAGUUACCACAGGGAUAACAGCGUAAUCUUUCUGGAGAGAUCUUAUCGAAAGAAGGGUUUGCGACCUCGAUGUUGGACUAAGAUAUCCCAAGGGUGUAGAAGUUCUUGUUGGUUGGUCUGUUCGACCAUUAAAAUCUU
rnacentral:rRNA from 1 species